UUAAGUCAGGCAACGAGCGAGACCCACGCCCUUAGUUACCAGCAUGUCCUUUUUUGGAUGAUGGGCACACUAGGGGGACCGCCUGUGAUAAACAGGAGGAAGGAGUGGACGACGGUAGGUCCGUAUGCCCCGAAUCCUCUGGGCAACACGCGGGCUACAAUGGCUAAGACAAUGGGUUCCGACACCGAAAGGUGGAGGUAAUCCUCUAAACUUAGUCGUAGUUCGGAUUGAGGACUGUAACUCGUUCUCAUGAAGCUGGAAUGCGUAG
rnacentral:rRNA from 1 species